CAUAACAGUCUUACUAUUUUCACAAUUCCCAAUCUUGUUCUGAUCUCGGAAGCUAAGCAAGGUUGGGCUUGGUUAGUACUGGGAUGGGAGUCUGCUUGGAAACAGUAAGGGAGCUGGUAUUC
rnacentral:rRNA from 1 species